AUGCUCCUCCAACACGAUCUCUACUAUGCGGAGGCGGAGGAACUGGACCCUGAAUCCGACAGGACGCAGGCCGCCCUUGAGUGGGCAGCCACCAUGGCCGCUCACCCUUCCCCUGGCGUUUUGACUAAGCUCAUGUCCUCCCGGCUCAAAGAGGACGACUUUAACCUUCUCAAGAAGCAACUCUUUUCAGCAGCAGAUGCCCCUCUCAAGGUUGAUGAUGUCGGAUCAAUCGACCGCAUAUUGCGCGUGAUGAUGAGCCCGCCCUGUCUUGCCACCAUAAUCCAUACCAGAAAAGGGCCGAUUCUCCAUGUCCGUAAGAACCUCGACGCCGUGUGCUCGACCGCCCCCGCCACUACAGAGGACGCCACCACCGCCCUCUCCUGGGACGGAAAACCCAUCUCGUCGCUGCAGUGCGGACUGCCUGACAAGCUGCAACGUUGCCUGGGAAGAGCAGAUGGCCUGGAACAAUAUUUGAAGAAGACCCCGUGCAGCGUUCACGCCUGCGAUUACCUGCAAACUCUAAAGAUGCGCCUCCAAGAGUCUGAACGCAGCAAGAUUGAGAAAUACAAUGACAUCCUGGACCCCCAUUCUCUGCUCCGCACACAGGUUCACUCCCUCAAGGGCCUUAUGGAGCUUGCCGCAUUCGCCGGACCCCAGUUCUCAACAGAGGCUUGUGCUCUAGAGUUGCUCUGCGGUGCAAGAUGUGACAUCGUUGACAUGUUGCCAUCAUCCCCAGAGAUACUAGAAAAGAACCCAUUCCAUGAAGCUGCCAAGGCCGCUGGACACCCUCUACCGCUUCAGCUGGGUGAACUGCACUGGCUGCUGCUGCUGAUGCCCGAUGAGCGAAGCGCGCUGCUCUCCUUGAUGACUGAGGCUCGAACUGGCCGUACUGUGUUGCGCCUCGGUGACAUGACAAAUCGUGUGAGGCACAUGUGGCUCAGAUGCUCGGCUGCUAAAACUGGUGGCAUUGUGCGAGCUCCUGAACUUUUUCCAGAGUCUCGGAAGUUGGUGUCAAGCAUAAGACCAAAGUAUGAGGAGCGGAGGAGCUGGUUCCGUUCAAAGAUUGAACAGGUGCUGAAGGAUUACACGACCCAGCAUUUUUGGGAACCAAAAUAUAAACUUGAUAUUAUCUCUGGCGUGGAGGCAAUCAACCAGGGCCGCCCCCCCUUGGGUGAGAUGUGCUACCUCGUGAACUUCACUGCUACUUCUGAUUUGCAGCUUGAGAGGAUGCUAUUCUUCGCCGAGUUUUUGUUCUCGGGUGGGCCACAGCCAGAGACCUGCUGCCCUCUACCCUAUGAGUAUGCGGGCCGUUGCUACUAUGGCGAGCAAACCGCGAGAAAAAUUGUGUAUCCUGAUAACUCCAAAUACAUCCCGCAUGAUAUCACCCAUUACGGAACCCGCCGCGUGGAUGACAUGCUAGAGAUGGACGUCGUCUACUUCAGUUCUGAGAUGGACGUGGAGCUCGCGGAGAAACUCAACAAGAUGCAUGCCUAUUGA
rnacentral:rRNA from 1 species